GGCAUGCCUUACACAUGCAAGUCGAACGGUAACAGGUCUUCGGAUGCUGACGAGUGGCGAACGGGUGAGUAAUACAUCGGAACGUGCCCGAUCGUGGGGGAUAACGAGGCGAAAGCUUUGCUAAUACCGCAUACGAUCUACGGAUGAAAGCGGGGGAUCUUCGGACCUCGCGCGGACGGAGCGGCCGAUGGCAGAUUAGGUAGUUGGUGGGAUAAAAGCUUACCAAGCCGACGAUCUGUAGCUGGUCUGAGAGGAUGAUCAGCCACACUGGGACUGAGACACGGNCCAGACUCCUACGGGAGGCAGCAGUGGGGAAUUUUGGACAAUGGGCGAAAGCCUGAUCCAGCCAUGCCGCGUGCAGGAUGAAGGCCUUCGGGUUGUAAACUGCUUUUGUACGGAACGAAAAGCCUCUUUCUAAUAAAGAGGGGUCAUGACGGUACCGUAAGAAUAAGCACCGGCUAACUACGUGCCAGCAGCCGCGGUAAUACGUAGGGUGCAAGCGUUAA
rnacentral:rRNA from 1 species